rnacentral:rRNA from 1 species
CAGUAGCGUAUAUUAAAGUUGUUGCAGUUAAAAGCUCGUAGUUGGAUUUCUGCUUGUAGCGUUGGGUCAGCUGGGGUUACCUAUGCGAGUACCUGUUCGCUCCUUGCAUCCUUCUAGAGAACGGUUCUCUCCUUCAUUGGCAGUGGGAUCGCAAUCUAGAUCUUUUACUUUGAAAAAUUAGAGUGUUUAAAGCAGGCUUGUGCUAUGAAUACAUUAGCAUGGAAUAAUAAUUUAGGACUUUAGUUCUAUUUUGUUGGUUUCUAGGACUGAAGUAAUGAUUGAUAGGGAUAGUUGGGGGUGCUAGUAUUCAGCGGCCAGAGGUGAAAUUCUUGGAUUCGCUGAAGACUAACUUAUGCGAAAGCAUUCACCAAGGAUGUCUUCUUUAAUCAAGAACGAAAGUUGGGGGAUCGAAGACGAUCAGAUACCAU